rnacentral:lncRNA from 1 species
UCGUAUGAAAUUCUAUUCUAUAACUUUAUAGCAUAAAAAGAAUAAAAAUAAUAACAUAUUAGAACAUGUUUGUACUGUUUGUGAUCUAAUUCUUGGAGCAUUUGAUUGAAUGUUUUAUUAAUAAACUUCUUAAAGCAUGGAUGGUUUUAGCUUGAUCAAUCAUUCAAGAUAUGCUUUUUUUAUAUUUGAUAGCAACCCAGACCUAAUCCACGCUGAUCUGAACCCAGCACACCCCUAAGUAGGAUGACCAGAA